rnacentral:rRNA from 1 species
GUGCCAGCAGCCGCGGUAAUACGUAGGCAGCAAGCGUUGUUCGGAGUUACUGGGCGUAAAGGGUGUGUAGGCGGCCUGUUAAGUUCCGUGUGAAAUCUCCCGGCUCAACCGGGAGGGUGCGCGGAAAACUGGCGGGCUAGAGUGCGGGAUGGGAGAGUAGAAUUCCUGGUGUAGCGGUGAAAUGCGUAGAUAUCAGGAGGAAUACCGGUGGUGUAGACGGCUCUCUGGACCGCAACUGACGCUGAAACACGAAAGCGUGGGUAGCAAACAGGAUUAGAUACCCUGGUAGUCC